rnacentral:rRNA from 1 species
UACGUAGGGGGCUAGCGUUGUCCGGAAUCAUUGGGCGUAAAGCGCGUGUAGGCGGUCCGGUAAGUCCGCUGUGAAAGUCGGGGGCUCAACCCUCGGAUGCCGGUGGAGUACUGUCGGGCUUGAGUACGGAAGAGGCGAGUGGAAUUCCUGGUGUAGCGGUGAAAUGCGCAGAUAUCAAGGAGGAACACCAAUUGCGAAGGCAGCUCGCUGGGACGUUAUGACGCUGAGACGCGAAGCGUGGGGAGCAAACAGG